UCGGUCUUCCUCCCUCUGGUUUGAUUUGCCUGGAAAACCACAAUGAUCUACGAAACAGAGAACUUUCUACAAAGCAGUUCUUUCUCCCUCUCAGUUCUUCAUUUUGCCCACAAAAUUGCAAAGCUCUGAGAAAGAGAGAAGAGAUGAAAGAGAAUCAGCCCUACCCAGAUGAUAUUCUCAUCCUCUUUAACUAAAAAGGCACCAGGGAAGCGUUGAAGCAUUAAGAAGAGUCUGCCAGAAUGUGCAAGCCAAAAAUUCAAGGGCCAUGUACAAUGCAGGGAAUGUAAGUACAAAUUUAAACACAAAUUAGCAGGGUCCAAGCCAGCUAGGGGAGGCAAUUCUCAGCUUGGCCAGACGAAUAAGAAGGCUGCUAUUAGGUGUGGCCUGCCAACUACAUUAGUCAAUAGUUUGGGUUUGGUUGGUGGUGACUGGAGCUGCCUAAGGUGUUCCAGCCUGUCAGGUAUGCCUAAAGUGUCCCAACCCUCUAUUGGCAUGGGGCCAACUGCACAGCUGAUAUCCGUGGCACGCAUCAUGAGUGUGCACAUCAAGGUAGGAAUUCCUUUACUCCUUACUUUAAAAUCUGUGCAGGCCCAAACUCACUGUCAUAGGCUUUGGGCAUGCCUAUCCCUUCCUAUUUAAUAUUGAGUGGACUCAGAAUUCAAGUCAAGCUUAUUGCCCAAGGCACCUAGCUUAAACCAUCAAAACCCACAUGAUUGCCACUCUUAUCCCAAAACGAACACUAGAAUAAUCAAACAAUAUACAACUUGGAGUGA